rnacentral:rRNA from 2 species
ACAUGCAAGUCGAACGAACCUUCGGGUUAGUGGCGGACGGGUGAGUAACGCGUGAGAAUCUGCCCUCAGGAGGGGGAUAACGGCUGGAAACGGCCGCUAAUACCCCAUAUGCCGAGAGGUGAAAUGAAUUUCGCCUGAGGAUGAGCUCGCGUCUGAUUAGCUAGUUGGUGUGGUAAAGGCUCACCAAGGCAUCGAUCAGUAGCUGGUCUGAGAGGAUGAUCAGCCACACUGGGACUGAGACACGGCCCAGACUCC